AUGAACGCUAGCGACAGGCCUAACACAUGCAAGUCGAGGGCAGCACAAGGAGCAAUCUGAGGUGGCGACCGGCGCACGGGUGAGUAACACGUAUGCAACCUGCCUGUAAGCGGGGAAUAACCCGUUGAAAGACGGACUAAUACCGCAUAAUACUAAAUUACUGCAUGGUAAUUUAUUUAAACAUUUAUGGCUUACAGAUGGGCAUGCGCAUGAUUAGCUAGUUGGAGAGGUAACGGCUCCCCAAGGCAACGAUCAUCAGGGGUUCUGAGAGGAAGGUCCCCCCACACUGGUACUGAGACACGGACCAGACUCCUACGGGAGGCAGCAGUGAGGAAUAUUGGUCAAUGGACGAGAGUCUGAACCAGCCAAGUCGCGUGCAGGAAGAAUUGUCCUAUGGAUUGUAAACUGCUUUUGCAGGGGAAUAAAGUGCAUCACGUGUGAUGUUUUGUAUGUACUCUGCGAAUAAGGAUCGGCUAACUCCGUGCCAGCCGCGGC
rnacentral:rRNA from 1 species